rnacentral:lncRNA from 1 species
UUUUUGCCAUCGAGUUGUAGGAGUUCCUUAUAUGUUUUGGAUAUUAACACCUUAUAAGUAAAAUACAUGUUUCAUUAAUAUUUUCUCCCAUUCUAUAUGUUGACUUUUUUAUUCUGUUGAGAGUUUUCUUUGCCGUACAAAACCUGUUUAUUUCUGCUUUUGCUGCCUGUGCUUUUGGUGUCAUAUACAAGAAAUCAUUGCCAAGGCUAAUGUUAUGAACUUUUCCUCUUUAUUUUUGCCUGGGAGUUUUAUAGUUUAAGGUAUUAUACUUAAGUCUUUAAUCCAUUUUGAGUUCAUUUUUGUGUAUGGUAUAAGAUAAUGGUCUAAUGUCAUACAAAGAGGCAUUUAAAAAGCUCUAAUUUUAUAUCUUAUUAAGUAUACAUACAUAUGUAGUAAAACUUAAACACAAAUUAAAGAAUAAAAAUUCAGAAUUGUGUUUACCCUUCUGGGCGGGGGGGAGUUAAGGGAGGAGACAGUGCUGAUGGCAGCUAUAUUACUUUCCUAAGUUGGUUAUGCGUACCUAGUAUUCCAUUAUAUGUAUAGACACACACACACACACACACACAAUUUUAUAAUAAAAUGAGAGUAAAAAUGUUUAUUUUUAAAGAGUAAAAAAAAUCCCUAUACUUUUUUGUUAAAAAAAUACUUUUUUAAAAAAAAUGAAUCUAAUACCUUUUAAAUUUUUUUUAAUUCCAAAACAUCCCUGAUACACAUUUUAGCAUAAUAACUUAACUCUACUUAAAAGGUUCCAGCUCUGAUGUAAAAAGUCUAACAUCCAUUGGGUGGAGCACUGCCCUCUAUUUUUAACCAUGUAGAUAAAAUUCUAUUGACAAUUAAUUCUACAAAAACAAUUCAUACAAACUUUAUUUUUAUUUAUUCACUUCUUUCUACCAAAUCUCACAAUGAAAUAAAAUUCAAAGAUGACUUGCUACACAAACUUACUGAAAAAACAAUGAACAAAGAGAUCUCUAUUCUCUGACAGAAAAUCUCUAGUCAAGAACUAUUAUUGCCAGUGCCUGAAGGUGGGCACUUGAUCAGGACUGCAUCAUGAUCUAUGACAAGGUUUCUCAACCUCAGCACUACUGUUAUUUUGGGUCAAAGAACUCUUUGUUGUGUGAGGUUGUUCUGUCAUUGUUGGAUACUUAACAGCAUCUCUGGCCUCUUCCCACUAGAAGCCAGUAGCACAGUAGUCUCCAGUUGUAAUCUUCAAAAAGGUCUCCAGUCAUUGCUAAAGGAUAAAACCGCCCCCCAGUUGAAAACCACUGCCCUUUGUGAAUGACACACCCUAGAGAGAGGUGCACUCAGCAACAGCACCCAGAAGCCUUGACAAUGGAAAUACAAAUUAUGAACAAAGUGCUAAGUUAAGCAAUUUACACAUUAGGGGAAAUAAAUUUAUAUCAGUAUAAAUAAUGUAUUAUUAUUUCCUUGAAUACUAUAUAGCUACAUGAAGAUAAAAUAAGGAAGGGCACCUGGGUGGCUCAGUCAGUUAAGCAUCUGCCUUGAGCUCAAGUCAUGAUCCCAGGGUCCUGGAAUCAAGCCCUGGCAUCAUUGGGCUCUCUGCUCAGUGGGGAGUCUGCUUUUCCCUCUCCCUUUCCCCUCCCCCAUUCUUAUACACUCUCUCUCUCUCUUUCAAAUCAGUUGCCUCCCUGAUGUACUCCCUUCAAAGUUCCAAAAGCAUUUCAGUUGAGAUGUUCAAAGCCUGCUCAUCUUCCAGUUUGCCCCAUUUUCAUAUAUGACAUCUCCCUGGAUCCAGCUGCUCAUGCCAUAGGAUCAGAAGUGACAUUUUCCUCAUCCUUAUUUUCACGUCUAAUUGUUUAUCAAUUCCUAUUUAUUACACUGGAUCUCUCAGUUCAGUCCACUGCCUUCAACCCUACUGGUACUACCUACUGCAAGCUACCAUCAUUUCUGGACUGGGCUACUUACUUUAAGAGUUUUCUAACCAUUAAAAAAAAAAAAAAAAAA